rnacentral:misc_RNA from 1 species
GUGUUUCAUCAUAGACAGCAACGCGUUCCACGAAUUCCCUUCUAUUCGGCAAACAGCAAAGAGCGGGCAUUGGUCAUCCUGCACACGCACACACCAGCUUAUGCUCUGUGUUUCAAACCGAUGGAGAACGGUUGCGGGGCCGUCAAACGCAGCCUCAGAGAGGCCGAUGCACGCUUCGGGAUAACGCGGCUCGCUCUCGACACGAACUGAUGCCCGGUGCUCUAGGAACUGCCGUUCAGACCAAUGGACCUGUUGGAGUUUGUAUAGGGAAACUCGCUGACGAUUGCGGUUCGUGGAAUUCCGAAGUCGUACGAAGAGAAAAACAAGGUAUAAAUACUUUAGUUAUACGGCAUGCUUAUCGACGGAGGCACACAACCGCCGCACACGAGAGGUCUCAGAGAAACGACUGUGUAGUUAGACGAAAAUCGUCCAAGAGCGUAACGAAAAGAGAUGCGUACCGCUUCCAGACGAGCUCGCCAGUCUCGGACGGGGCGGUUUCCUGAACGGAACGCUUCGCUUGGGUGUGUUCACGGACGAGGAGCGGCGCUCAUCGUUACUGCCGGAAACGGCGGUCGUUCAGUGCCAGCUUGGAACGUGCGUGCUCCCACCGGAACACGUGGCACGCGACAUGUACCUGGUGGUUCUUUGCAGCAAGCUCCGGCGACACGCUUGCCUCAAACUCAAGUCCGCGUGCUUCGAGUGUGCCGAGGUCUUUGGAAACGUCCAGCACUUUGUAGAAGCGCAGCUGACACCGAUAAGCUUUUCGUCCUAGUUGUCCCCGAGUGCGCACCAGGCAGACUUGACCCGCAACUAGCCUUCAUCGGCGACGCACGGACGUCGGCUCCCAAGCUGGACAGCAUUGGGAGCGUCGAGGGCCUCUCUCGCUUGGUGACUCAAAGCGCCCCAGAUAAUACGAAUGGGUACGGGGAAUGAUACGCACAGUGACGCUGAGAAGGGUGAGCAUACACCUCCACCGGCACGUGAAAGAUUCUAUGGGGUGGAGGCGAAAGUGCGACGACUCGGCGACCGGCAUGGGCGGUAUGAAGGAGCUCUUCAUGACCGACGCUUCGUUGCAGCCAGUCGGCUCGAAGGAUUGCGAGACCAUGAUGAAUGUCCGUCAUCUGGCCCUUCGCGACGAGGACGUUGUCUCGAAGAUGGACCUGUCGCACGCGACUAACGCACCCACGAAUGCGAUGGCGCGUCUGCACCCAGCGUGCCGGUCCAGAGCCUCCGUCAGGGGAGGAGUACGCGGCUUUUACGAACGCACGUCUCCGUGGCUCGUGCCACUGCCAGCAAGCACACUUUUUCGCUUUGUCGUGGAUCGUGACGCCGCGCGAGGGUUACGCAGAUGCGUCCGAUGGAGAACAAGUGUGUCGAGGAAGAGGAAGAGAGGCUGAUCGCUAGGUGCAAGCCCAGACAGCGAACUAUGCGCCCGCACCCGAAGAUUCGAGGAAACUCAUGAACCGCUUGACGAGCGAGAAGCGACGGAGCGCGCAGGAGGGCGCGGAGGCGAAGGGAGACCGGAGGAACCGGAGCUUCGCGCUUCCAACAGGAGAAGUAGAGUCGUCGUUCGCUUCCGAUAGCGCGAGCGUGUCCAUCGCCGUCAAGCGCGAACGCUCUAUACGAUUGAAGAAUCGUCAGGGCGCCGAUGCACCCUGGUUAGAGGGGAAAAUGUGCGGAUGAACAACGAACAACUGGGAUGCGCGGCGGCGCGAACUUGCUCCCCAAUGCGAUCGGCCUCAACUUGGACCCAAAGAGAUCGGGUUCCUGAACCUUCACGAUGAUUGCGAGAUCCGAAGGGAUGCCCGACUUGCCUGUGGUCACCGACGACGCACUGGAGCCGCGAGUCUCGAACACGCCGAUUCCCGCUCAAAGUCGUAGCUUGGACUCGAGUACCUCAUAUGUUCGCCUAAGCGGACGGUGAGCGAGUGAGGCACUCGUCCGACGCGCAAACGAGUGAGACAGGAGAGAGUCCCAGUAGCCUUGGCGGCAUUAUCACAAGCAGGUGGCACAAUCGGACCUGAUGGCCCGUCACGCUCAUCUGCACAGUUUGUGGGAAGGGAACGCAGGAAAGCAAGAGCGCACAAGGAAUCGGUUGUUGAGGUACCGAAUGGAAUAGCGUGCGCUUGCGAGUGCAGCGGGCAGCGCACGCGCACAAGAAGUCGUCCAGAAGAGCAAGUGCAUGAUCACGGGGCACAGCACUGGGCGCGAAAACGGAGCAAGGCAUCGCGUAGAGCCUUCUGUACCCGUCAACGACAGCUACGGAGGGAUGCAGCAAGCGCUCGCAUGCUGCAGGUCGGCUCCCAGGGAAUGCGAGCUCGUGAACACAUACGGGAAUAUCUGAACACAAUCAGGUUAACCGCUUUGAAGCGCGCACCAGCACUGAAUUCUAGGAAACGAAGAAAACGGCAAGCGAUCCGUAAAUCGCAACCUCCGCCUGCACAUCGAAUACGCAGGCAACUGCCGGAACCUGUGAAACUGCGACCCCAACGCCGCGAUUAGCAUCCCUCGACAGCCUACAACAGUGCUGGAAAGAAAGUAGCGACCGGCGUGUUCCAGCCCGGAGCUAAGAGAGAGGAAAAGCGAUCAGCCGCAGCAAAAGCUCCCAUGGGAUGGCUUUCAUGACUGAGGGAAGAGAUGCGAGCUUUGCAGAGCUAGCCCUAGCUGGCUGGUCCGUUCCAUUUCUGUCUAGUUUUGGAAGUAGCAAGUCGGUGGAGCGCUAGGGAUCAGAGUUCGCCAGAGUGACCGCCUCCAGAGAUGCAGAAACGCCGACCUUUAACU